GUAGGUGGCAAGCGUUAUCCGGAUUUACUGGGUGUAAAGGGCGUGUAGGCGGGAUUGCAAGUCAGAUGUGAAAACCCAGGGCUCAACCCUGGGACUGCAUUUGGAACUGCCAGGCUGGAGUGCAGGAGAGGUAAGCGGAAUUCCUAGUGUAGCGGUGAAAUGCGUAGAUAUUAGGAGGAACACCAGUGGCGAAGGCGGCUUACUGGACUGUAACUGACGUUGAGGCUCGAAAGCGUGGGGAGCAAACAGGAUUAGAUACCCUGGUAGUCCACGCGGUAAACGAUGACUGCUAGGUGUAGGUGGGUAUGGACCCAUCGGUGCCGCAGCUAACGCAAUAAGCAAUCCACCUGGGGAGU
rnacentral:rRNA from 1 species